rnacentral:rRNA from 1 species
AACGAACGCUGGCGGCAGGCCUAACACAUGCAAGUCGAACGCCCUAGCAAUAGGGAGUGGCAGACGGGUGAGUAACACGUGGGAACCUUCCCUAUAGUACGGAAUAGCUCAGGGAAACUUGAAGUAAUACCGUAUACGCCCGAGAGGGGAAAGAUUUAUCGCUAUAGGAUGGGCCCGCGUCGGAUUAGCUAGUUGGUGAGGUAAUGGCUCACCAAGGCGACGAUCCGUAGCUGGUUUGAGAGAACGACCAGCCACACUGGGACUGAGACACGGCCCAGACUCCUACGGGAGGCAGCAGUGGGGAAUAUUGGACAAUGGGCGCAAGCCUGAUCCAGCCAUGCCGCGUGAGUGAUGAAGGCCUUAGGGUUGUAAAGCUCUUUUAGUCAGGGAAGAUAAUGACUGUACCUGCAGAAUAAGCUCCGGCUAACUUCGUGCCAGCAGCCGCGGUAAU